rnacentral:rRNA from 1 species
UAAAUAGAUACCCGUGGUAGUCCACGCCCUAAACCGAUGCGAACUGGAUAGGUUGGGUACAUUACGGGUACUCGAGUGUCGAAGCUAACGCGUUAAGUUCGCCGCCUGGGGAGUACGGUCGCAAGACUGAAACUCAAAGGAAUUGACGGGGGCCCGCACAAGCGGUGGAGUAUGUGGUUUAAUUCGAUGCAACGCGAAGAACCUUACCUGGCCUUGACAUCUGUCGAAUCCUGCAGAGAUGCGGGAGUACCGCAAGGAACGACAAGACAGGUGCUGCAUGGCUGUCGUCAGCUCGUGUCGUGAGAUGUUGGGUUAAGUCCCGCAACGAGCGCAACCCUUGUCCCUAGUUGCCAGCACGUAAUGGUGGGAACUCUAGGGAGACUGCCGGUGGACAAACCGGAGGAAGGUGGGGAUGACGUCAAGUCCCCAUGGCCCUUACGGCCAGGGCUACACACGUACUACAAUGGUCGGUACAGAGGGUUGCGAAGCCGCGAGGUGGAGCCAAUCCCAGAAAACCGAUCCCAGUCCGGAUCGGAGUCUGCAAUUCGACUCC